GGUUGCAUUGCAUGAGUAAUAUAUUGCAUUUAAUAACCUAAGGCAGAACAGAAGAUGAUUGUAUAUAGUUAACAUGCUAUGUCUGCAUUGGAUAUAAUCGGUAGUUUAUUUUCAGCAUAGUUUCAUGAUGCCAUGCCAUGCGUUGAUUUAUAUGUUAAAUUAUGCCAUGUUUGAGAUGAUAUGAUAGGUUUUGCUAUUACCAUGUUAUAAUCUUGUUUUAUUAUGCCUUGUUAUUGCCAUGUUAGUAGAUGCUAUGAUUUUGUUCAUGCUGAGUUGAUUUUUAUCAUGCCAUGUUUAGUAAUGGAUAUGAGAUAGGUUGUUGCAUACGCUCGGUUCUCGCUUUGUCUUCUGCUUGUUUGGAUGCUAUGCAUUUGGUUGUCUUGCAAGUACAUUCAAUGUACUGACCUGGCGUGUCAUGCCAGUUUUGUAGGUCAUACCCGUAUUGUUCGCUUGAUCCGUCGUGCUAGGCCGUAACCUUGCCAGUCCUGUGAGUAGUGGAGCCCAGCCAGAGUUGAUGAGCCACCAAACCAAGACUUCCGCCGCCUUUUUAUAGACUUCUGUUGUCAUUUAAUAGCCUUAGGGCUAUGUUAGAUAAUUUUAUUCAUCAAUGAUGUACUCUGAUGCACAUGUAUUUGAUGAAUAUUAUUGUACCUGGAAUGCUGUAUUAUGGACCUGUCGUGCGUCAGGUGUUAUCCUGGGCUGACGUGCGAAGGCCCCCUGCUCCAUGCGGAUCGGGGUGCCACAGUUCCCCACCAACGUGGUGGUCUACGACGAGCCGCUUCCACGCGCGGACAGCGGCGGCAGCACCGUCACGGAAGUGCUCAUCAUCAGCCAUGGCGAGCACUCUGGCGGGGGUGGUCAGGAUCCGUUGCAGGCAGCAAUGCAAGACCUAACUGCGCCCAUCCCGGAAGACGCCGACGCCGAGACGCUGGAAGCACGCCGCGUCCAGCUCGUGGAGAGCGCCAACCGGCUGGCCAGCAUGAGACGCCUUUCGGAGGCCUACCAGCGGGAGAUGGACCGUGCUGUCGGAGGCACGCCGGCUCCUGGUGGGCCUAGCCGCAUUGGCCAGAUCCGGCAGCGUGGCGCGGCCAUCGCCAGCAUGUUCGGGACAGAUCGUCCCGUCUAUGCCACGCCUGCAGAGAACAUACAGGCUGCGGAGCUUAGGCGAAGCCCUGCGUCGGUGGAACAUCAUCAUCGUCACCACGCCGUCGUGCUGACGAAACUCUCCCUCAACACUCGGCUGGAUCGGAGUUCGAGGGACGUCAUCGAGCUGAACGUGUGUAGAACUCGGAGGUGCCGUGCGUUCGGUACUUGAUCGGUCGGAUCGUGAAGACGUACGACUACAUCAACCGCGUUGUGAUAACGCUUCCGCUGUCGGUCUACGAGGGUACGUGGACAACACUCUCCCCUCUCGUUGCUAUGCAUCACCAUGAUCUUGUGUGUGCGUAGGAUAUUUUUUGAAAUUACUACGUUCCCCAACACCUGAGCCCAUGGGUAGGUCGCCAGUCGCCUGCCAUGGCCGGACGCGCCGGCGAGCGCCGUCGGGGCGGGCGUCUCCCCUCGGCCAGGCGUGCGUCGAGUGGGAGGAAGAAGAAAGCCAGCUAGGUGGGCCCCACCCCUCGCGGGUCCCCCUCGUCAGUGACCCCGCGUUGGCCCCGCCUUGCCACGUCAAUUAAGUGGCGGCGCCUCGGGCUAUUUUCGGUUUACGGAACCCGUAGGCGUAUUUCCUGGAGUGCGCUUUCCCUUAGCCGAAAUCAUAUUCCUCCCCUUCUUUGGGCCAGAAUACGAUUUCCUUUCUGGAAAGCGUAUUUCCGAGAAAGACGUGAUCUGUUUUUCUGCUAGGGCCCCGUUUGUAAUGAUUUCUUUACAGAUAGGUCCCUGAUAGUUAAACGGUCAUAUCUUUUUACCCACAACUCCAAAUGAGGUGAAUCCAAAGCCCACGUCUUUGUUUUGUCGAGCCCGUUCCGUUGAUGUCAUUUUCAUAAUAUUUUCACACAGUGAAAAUGACCUUUUUGCCCUUGCCCGCAAACAGCCCCCUCCGAGAAGGAACUGUUUCCGGCAAAUCUUUUCGCGAUCAUUUCGCACUUCUUCCCGGAGUAUUUGUCGACCCCCAGGCAAGCCAACCUCUUAUCAUGAGCCCCAAACUUGCAUGUUGACUUUGCUUGCACCUUGUGUGUGUGUAGUUGCAGUUGUUUCAUAUCGUUUUCAUCUGCAGUUAUUCCUUUAUGCCUGUCAUGCAUGCUUGCGUUUUCAUGAUAUCUUUUGCCAUGCUAAUUAAACUCUUGUUAUUGAUAAUGCCAUGUCACUACUCUACUUGAUUUGCAUGUCAUCGUUAUACAAUGUUAUGAGGAUUGUAAUGCACCGUUGAUAUGCUAUUACUUGGUAUUGUCAUGUACUUUAUGCUAUAGCUGUGCACUUGAGUAGUUCAAUAUUUUGUUCAUGCAAUCGUAUGCUGCAUGCUCAUUGUUGCAUUCAUGUUCAUGAUGAUGGAGAAGGAAAUAAAAUGACUUAAUAAUAACAAACCUCCUCCGUCAUCGAUGGGAUCGAGUCAUAGUGCCACCAAAUCGAACUUUUUCAGUGCAGCCACAUUUGCCUUUGUGGGAAGGCCUUAAUGCGAGCUAUUGUCGUGACCUCUCGCCGGUGCCUCCCACUAGGGAAGGUUAUGGGUGUGCUUACCCUGAUCAGGUAAGCGGACAUAACCUUGUGUGCUCGUUUUUAGAUUUUUGGUACCAGUCCCCGAGUGGGAGUUGACCACGACGGUGGUUGGGGUGUCUUUGGUAGACACGGGGCCACCCAGGACCAGCCCGUUGGGGAUUGGGUCGGAGUGGCCGGGAGAGCGUCAUGGCAGUAGGUUGGUUUCGUCGGAAUGCCGUUGGUCCACCCGAAUGGGAUGACGAGGCCAUGGGUUCCGUGGUGUGGGUAAAGUGUGCUACCUCUGCAGAGUGUAUAAAGUCUAUCGAUAAGUGUUGGAGACCAAGUGUUGGUCAUGGUUGUGAUCGUCGGAAAGACCACCGUUCGGUUGUGAGGCAACCCGCUGGUAAGAGAGUCCGAGGGACUCGGUGUACGAGUUUGGUUGCAUUGCAUGAGUAAUAUAUUGCAUUUAAUAACCUAAGGCAGAACAGAAGAUGAUUGUAUAUAGUUAACAUGCUAUGUCUGCAUUGGAUAUAAUCGGUAGUUUAUUUUCAGCAUAGUUUCAUGAUGCCAUGCCAUGCGUUGAUUUAUAUGUUAAAUUAUGCCAUGUUUGAGAUGAUAUGAUAGGUUUUGCUAUUACCAUGUUAUAAUCUUGUUUUAUUAUGCCUUGUUAUUGCCAUGUUAGUAGAUGCUAUGAUUUUGUUCAUGCU
rnacentral:lncRNA from 1 species